rnacentral:lncRNA from 12 species
CUCUUUUCUCUUUCUCUACUAAUGUUCUUAACUGCAAAGACACCUCUGACUCUCAGGGGUGAUUGUAUACCCUUUCUAGAUGAAUUUCUAAGUUUUCAUUAGAAUGCUACAGUAGACAAAGACUUGUAAUAUGUUUUUGUAAUGCUUGAAAUUAUCUGCAAUGGGAUUCUUCUUUCCCCCUGGCAAAGGAUGACUCAUUUAUCUUCAGUCUGCUAACCAACAGGGCUGCCAAAGACCCCUCCUUUCCAAACAAAAAUCUGUAGAGAGCUUUCAGAAACACGAGAAAAUAUGACAAACACAGCUUGAGUUCUUAACUUUGCUGGCUGAAGAUCACAGAAGGAUACGGACAAGUCCGCCAGCCUUGAUCCCCGGCAUUCAGCACUCCGCUGGUAACAACAGAGAGCAGCUCCCUGCACACAGACUGCUCCCCCGGCUUCCCUGGCAUCUCCCCCUCUGCUCCUAUUCUGAAAUCCUCCAGCUCCCACUUCCUUAUUUGGUUGCCGGGACUGUUCUUUGUCUGGCUGAGCCCCCCGGGCCGCGCCGCCCCCGGCUCGGCCCGGCCCGGCUCCAGGCGCUCAGCCCUGCUGCUCUCCCUGCGCUCAGCCCUGCUGCUCUCCCUGCGCUCAUCCCUGCUCCUCUCCCUGCGCUCAUCCCUGCUGUUCUCCCUGCGCUCAUCCCUGCUGCUCUCCCUGCGCUCAUCCCUGCUGCUCCCUGCGCUCAUCCCUGCUGCUCUCCCUGCGCUCAGCCCCGCAGCAUUGCCGACUCCACCGCGCCUUCCCGAGCUGCAGCGCUCCCCAAGCCGCCCCAGCUGCGUCUGCAAACCACUGGCAACCAGACAAAGGAAAAUGAAGCUAUGAAGUUCCAGUGUACAAACUCACAGAUUCCUGUCAUGUUUUCCAUUGUUCUUUAGAACAGGUUACAGCGUGUGCUGUGGGGAUUUCACUGGUGCGUUCUGCAGAGAAAAGGAAACCCUCAACAUUGCUACUACUUUUUUAGAAGUUGCUAUUCUGUUACGCUACCUGAAAAAAGACGGCGAGACUAGUUUUACUCUCAAAUAUCCCAAAACUUUUAAAAGUAAUGUUUAUAAAGAGCAGCUAACCUGCAGGAAGACAGUGAAAUUUGCUAGGGGGACACUCCCUACUGUUGCUUGAUACUUAGUUUUAGUAGCACUUAGGUACUUCACAAGAAAGAAUUGACAGUCAAACUGUACAUGUCUAGAGAAGAGCCGCAGCAAGCGAGGAAGAACAUUUAAAUAGAAAACAGUAAGAAAAACCCAACCAAAACCCAGUCCUACUGGUCACUGUAUUUGUUUUGUUCACAUCUUUUAGAUUUAGUCUUUUAAAGUCGAUUUAUGUGAUAGCUUUUUAAACAAAAAUCAAGGAAUCCUGUAGGGAGUGAUUGCUUUCUUUAAACUUAAAAGAGAAAAUUAUAACAGUUCAGGAGAAUAUAUACUUAAUAUGUCUACACUGACAGCUGAAACAAAAGUUGAUCCACAGAGAUCUAGUUAUCUGACUAAGGAGCUUACUGAGCUGUUACUCCCUAAAAGGAAUACCCUUAACAAAGAAGUGAUUUAAAAUUGGUAAAAGUGUUCUGAGUCCUUUCAUGUAGUGUGACAAGGAACAACAUUUUGAAAAAAAUCAAAGAAGAAAGUAUAGCUACAUUUCAAACUUUCUAAUCCUAUCUGGGAAUCUGGAAACAUUUCUGUAUUUCUCAAUAUGGUUCCUUAGUAUUAAGUUAAGAAAACAAGUCCUUAAAUCACGCUAAAACUCCUUCCAUUGUUGCAAGCUCCCAUGGAUGUUGGGUGAAGCAGAAAACAAGUAGUAAACUGGAACAAAGAGCACUGCUUUAAGUCACUGAUGUACAGGGCAAUAGUGACUGCUCCUGGGCACAAGUGCAUGAAAAAAAAAAUUACAGAGAAUACAAAGGUGCAUUUAUAACCACCUUCCUAUAAGACUCCAGCUGCACCCAAGUCAGUUGAACUUUCAGAUCAACAGAAAACCGACUCUGGUAUUUUU